AGGAUGAACGCUGGCGGCGUGCUUAACACAUGCAAGUCGAACGGUGAAGUGAGGAGCUUGCUCUUUGCGGAUCAGUGGCGAACGGGUGAGUAACACGUGACUAACCUACCCUUGAGUGGGGGAUAACCUAGAGAAAUCUGGGCUAAUACCGCAUAAUACCUUCGGGUCAAAGGAGCAAUUCGCUUAAGGAGGGGGUCGCGGCCGAUUAGUUAGUUGGCGGGGUAAUGGCCCACCAAGACUAUGAUCGGUA
rnacentral:rRNA from 1 species